UUUAGAGGUUUGCAUUAUUUUUGUUGUUAUAGUAUGAAAAUACUAAUAUAUAAUCAUCCUAUGUAAAUUAAAAUUUGACUAGAUUAGUCAACUAGAUUCUUUUGCUAAAUCACUGCCUUGAAAGACCACUUUCCUUUUUUCCAGGCCCACCAAUAGCACAACAGUCAAACAAUUUCUACUGUCCCUAAGACAGAAACAAGAAGGUGCUCUUUUUACUUUCCUUACACAUACAAAGGGAAAUGGUCCUUUAAAUGGAGAUCAAGAAGUAGUCUUUAAUCAUUCAAGAUCUUAAUUACUAAUGAAUGCAUUUUUCAGAGUCUGUAAACAGUAUAGUUUCCACCUGACCUCUUUUGCAUGCAGUUGCUGAGCAGUCAAAAUAACAAGCUAACAGCAAAUGAAAGCAUCACAGUGACAUGCCAUUAUGAUCGUCUUCAAUUCAGUUGUUUUUUUUUUCCUACUAUAAACUUCUGGACUUUUUCUGAGCAUAUAUGUUAGCACAAGACUUUUCCUGGGAAACUGAGAAAGUUAUGAAACAAGACACAUAUUGCCGAUACUAGAGAGAAAUUCAUGGAGGAAAUAAAAUGGAGAAUGGUGUUUCAGUCAGCAUUUGAACUCCAUCUGUUCCUUCUAUGAAGGUGUUGAACCUAGUAAUUAAAGAAGAAGAAUUUCUGUCCUGGCUACAUUCUGGACCUCCCAUUCAUUUGCGGCUCCCAACCUGCAACAGAUUAACAGUCACCAAAAAGGUCACUCACCAGAUGUCAGCAAAGAAAAACACAAAGCUUUCCUCCAAACUCUCAGGAACAACUUGACUACUGGGGAACUGUGAGAAUAAACAAGCAAAGAGGAGGCAUUGACUGCCAGACAGGGCAAAAGGAAAGAUCUCUACAUCUGUCCAAGAACAAGAGUGAGUGCCCAUUAGCAAAGAGUGCCCUUUAACCCUAAACAGGAAGCAGUCUUCAGGACAGCUAUGAUAAUGAACAUAUUGCAGUGUCCUCUAUAUUCAAUUAUCUUGAAAAGAGGAGGUAGUCUCUUUUGGAAGGGAAGAGGUGCAUUCUGAUAUUUCUCCCUUAUUGAUCUACUGGUUUUUUUAAAAAAAUAUUUCUCAAAUGGCAAGACCACAUUUAAAUAAGCCAGUAAAAUAUUUCUAUUGGAAAGAGAGCAAAGCAGAUAUAAAAAAGACUGAAGGCUGAAGAUGAAAAAAAAAAGUUUCUGUAAACUCUUCAAGAGUUUCAUGUCAUUCUUUUGGUCAUGAAAGUGGUUACUUCCUCAUAUGUUAUUUGAGCAGAGUAUACUCCAUGGAAUCCUGAUCAGAAAGGCUAAAUUAUUAAAGUGAAA
rnacentral:lncRNA from 1 species